AGGCUUUCAUACCGAAAUCCUGCGAGGCUCGAGGAUGGGUCUGCGGCCUAUCAGGUAGUAGGGGGUAUCACGGACCCCCUAGCCGAAGACGGGUACGGGCUUUGGGAGAAGUCGCCCGGAGAUGGAUUCUGAGACACGAAUCCAGGUCCUACGGGACGCAGCAGGCGCGAAACCUCCACAAUGUGGGAAACCACGAUGGGGGAACUCCAAGUGCCUACACUUAGUGUAGGCUGUUCUCGAGCCUAAAAAGCUCGAGAAGUAAGGGCCGGGUAAGACGGGUGCCAGCCGCCGCGGUAAUACCCGCGGCCCGAGUGGUGCUCAUUAUUAUUGAGCCUAAAGCGUCCGUAGCUGGCCGGACAAAUCUCCGGGUAAAUCGGGCCGCCCAACGGUCCGAAUUCCGGAGACACUGUUCGGCUUGGGAUCGGGAGAGGGUGAAGGUACUCCCGGGGUAGGGGUAAAAUCCUGUAAUCCGGGGGGGACCACCAGUGGCGAAGGCGUUCACCUAGAACGAAUCCGACAGUGAGGGACGAAGCCCUAGGGCGCAAACGGGAUUAGAUACCCCGGUAGUCUAGGGUGUAAACUCUGCAGACUUGGUGUUGGGGGUCCUGCGUGGGCUUCCAGUGCCGGAGCGAAGGUGUUA
rnacentral:rRNA from 1 species